AACGAACGCUGGCGGCAGGCUUAACACAUGCAAGUCGAGCGCCCCGCAAGGGGAGCGGCCGACGGGUGAGUAACGCGGGGGAACGUACCUUUUGGUUCGGAACAACUCCGGGAAACUGGAGCUAAUACCGGAUAAGCCCUAACGGGGAAAGAUUUAUCGCCGAAAGAUCGGCCCGCGUCUGAUUAGCUAGUUGGUGAGGUAACGGCUCACCAAGGCGACGAUCAGUAGCUGGUCUGAGAGGAUGAUCAGCCACACUGAGACUGAGACACGGCCCAGACUCCUACGGGAGGCAGCAGUGGGGAAUCUUGGACAAUGGGCGCAAGCCUGAUCCAGCCAUGCCGCGUGAGUGAUGAAGGCCUUAGGGUUGUAAAGCUCUUUUGUCCGGGAAGAUAAUGACUGUACCGGAAGAAUAAGCCCCGGCUAACUUCGUG
rnacentral:rRNA from 1 species